GUGAUUUUGCGAGAUUAUUUUGACAAAUUAGCUUCUCUGAGUGAAUUGUUAGAGAGCUUUAAAGAUGGCCGCUCCUCAGAGUAGUGAAUGCUGUUGGGACGGGUUACUUCCUGAUUCACUCGACACUCUGUGUUGGUUAUCACUGUAAUUAAGCAUAUAAAACUGUUUUCAAAUAAAACUGCAGGAAAAAUAAUCCUCUUUACUGUUAAGUAAUUAAUAAUUAAAGUUAUGGUUAGUAUUGCUGACUUAAGCGAAUGUUUAGGAAAUCAGAUUCAGGUCUGAACUAAGUGAAUGCAGAUUGUAAACACUCUAACUGAACUGUUUUUCUAGCUAAGCAUAGAGUAUGGGAUGUGUUAAGUGCAUAGUAGUCUCUGAUUAGUCACUUCAGAAGGCCCUCGUUUAAGUUUUGAUAUGGACAAGUUAAAGCGAAGCACUGAUUUUGAUUAUUUAUCCAUCCAUGUAAAACUAUAUAGACUAUAAAACUAUAACCACAUUUUGCUGUUAGACUAGUGUUGAUGCAGAUGACCUAUUAACCCUUUCAGUUAUGAUCAUAUUAAUCAAUAAGGAUUCCUCUUUUGAUUUUAUAUGUCUUUUUCCUGUUGAAAAUGGAGGGAAGUUGUAUUAUAUUUAAAUAAGUAGGCUAAGUAAUUUAAUAAUAUAAAUGAACCUAAUCAUUCUUUAAUCAUAUUGUUUUACAUAAGGCAUACAGAUAAACAAAAAAGGGUUAAAUCCUGAGUCAAUAGAAGAAUAGAGGAUGUAGAUGCAACUUUGAUAUUCAUAUCCUAAAACCAUACAGCAUUUAAAGGGUUAAAUUUUAGUCCUCUUGAGGGCAUCAGAGUCAGUGGUGACACCCUUUCACUUUGUCACUCUCUGCCGUUUUUAUCAGAAAUCUGAAAAUGUAAAUUGCUGCCCCCUCUGGAUGGAUCGGGAACAAGGGAACUUGGAAAGAAAAGAAAACAAGAUCUUCAUUUGGGACGUCCAGUAUCUCACUGCAACUCAUUCAUUCUUGUUUACGAGUGAAAAGAAGAACUUGGCAGAACGCAUUGCAGCCAUUUUCCAUGCAGAGUGUGUGUGUGUGUGUGUUCUUCAGGAAAGGGGAUUGUGGAAAGGCUGCGUACUUUUUUUCCCCUCUUUUAAACCAAUCAGCAUUGCUUUGGUAUGAGUCACUCCCACACCCUACCCUUAUAUGACAAAGAGAGGAGGGGCUGUUUCUCAGACCAGACAGUGAAAUGGUGGCUGCUUGUAUAAAAACAGCAGCAGCACCAUUAGGAACUGAGCAGCUACAGACACAUUUACAGGUAAGAUCCGUAACUUAGAACAUUCUUCUGCCUCUCGAUUGAGAAUAUUUAUGCUGUUACAUGUAACUGAACAUUGCUGUUCGUCUAACCCUCUUGAGCUAAUUGUGUUAGCCUGUUAACAAGCCAUCAUUCAUUCAGCCUAGAAACCUAUUUUACCAAACCAGCAAAGAUAAACUGAAUGUUAUAGAAGAAACUGUUGCAUUUAGGAAUUAUUUUCAUUUAUAGCAAGGAAAACUUGGGUAAAACCAAAAGUAUGACAUCAUUCAUUAUGCCAUGUGGUUUAAUAGAUAUGUCAAGCCCAACGUGAUUAUCAACUGCAUUGUUUUAGUUGUAGAAUUACUAGUUCGGUUUGUUUUCUUGAGCAAACUGUUUUUUAUUUACUAUUAAAUAAUCCGUCAUAUUGUCGGAAUUUGAGUCAGUACUUCCUGUGAACUUCCAUUCUGAAAACACAAAAAUCUGUAAAUAAAAUGAAAUGCUGUUCUGUUUAUAGGUUAAGAUGUUUUACAGUAUAUAACUUUGUCCCUAGUAGGAAAGUUCAUAUUUUAGUGACCUAUUAGGAAAAAAAGAUACAGUUGAAUACUACGGCUCAGGACACCACAGAUUCAGAACUGGACAGCAACCUUUUACAGUCUAAGAAAGAGAAAAUAUAGUCCUAUUAGAAAACCUACAGCUGUCUUUUAAGGUAGAAUCUAACGGUCACUUAACCUCAUGAGUGACUGAUUUGGGACACUCUACAUAGGCUACCCAAGAGACUUGACUUACAUUUGAUUCCAAUAGAAAUUGAAGUUAGUAUGUUGCUGAGCUAACAGCAUGAUACUCUAAUAUGUAAUAAAAAAAAUUCAAAAUGCACACAAAUAUUAAUUAAAAUAUUCCAUUUUGAAUUGCUGAACUUUUUUAUAAUUCAGUACUGAAUGAAAUGAAAGUUUACAUUCCACAAUGCUAUUUCUCUUUUGACACUGCAAGUCAAAAAUGCAAAUUGUGGAAUUGCCCUCUCUAUAA
rnacentral:lncRNA from 1 species